rnacentral:rRNA from 1 species
GAUCCAGACUUUGAUCCUGGCUCAGGACGAACGCUGGCGGCGCGCCUAACACAUGCAAGUCGAACGGAGUUAUUUUCUUCACUCCGAGCUUUUUGCCAGUUAGUCGGAGCGGCAAUCGGUUUUGCCCAGCAUAAAAAGCAAAACCGAUUUAGGCUCAUAAAGUAAGACUAACACAGAGGGCAGAGAGUUGGGAGUGAAGAAAAUAACUUAGUGGCGAACGGGUGAGUAACGCGUGAGUAACCUGCCCUGGAGUGGGGGACAACAGUUGGAAACGACUGCUAAUACCGCAUAAGCCCACGGCCCGGCAUCGGGCUGAGGGAAAAGGAUUUAUUCGCUUCAGGAUGGGCUCGCGUCCAAUUAGCUAGUUGGUGAGGUAACGGCCCACCAAGGCGACGAUUGGUAGCCGGACUGAGAGGUUGAACGGCCACAUUGGGACUGAGACACGGCCCAGACUCCUACGGGAGGCAGCAGUGGGGGAUAUUGCACAAUGGGGGAAACCCUGAUGCAGCGACGCCGCGUGGAGGAAGAAGGUUUUCGGAUUGUAAACUCCUGUCGUUAGGGACGAUAAUGACGGUACCUAACAAGAAAGCACCGGCUAACUACGUGCCAGCAGCCGCGGUAAAACGUAGGGUGCAAGCGUUGUCCGGAAUUACUGGGUGUAAAGGGAGCGCAGGCGGACCGGCAAGUUGGAAGUGAAAACUAUGGGCUCAACCCAUAAAUUGCUUUCAAAACUGCUGGCCUUGAGUAGUGCAGAGGUAGGUGGAAUUCCCGGUGUAGCGGUGGAAUGCGUAGAUAUCGGGAGGAACACCAGUGGCGAAGGCGACCUACUGGGCACCAACUGACGCUGAGGCUCGAAAGCAUGGGUAGCAAACAGGAUUAGAUACCCUGGUAGUCCAUGCCGUAAACGAUGAUUACUAGGUGUUGGAGGAUUGACCCCUUCAGUGCCGCAGUUAACACAAUAAGUAAUCCACCUGGGGAGUACGACCGCAAGGUUGCAACUCAAAUGAAUUGACGG